rnacentral:rRNA from 1 species
UCCGCCCGGGUACUACGAGCACAGCUUAAAACCCAAAGGACUUGGCGGUGUCUCAGACCCACCUAGAGGAGCCUGUUCUAGAACCGAUAACCCCCGUUAAACCUCACCACUUCUUGUUUUCCCCGCCUAUAUACCGCCGUCGUCAGCUUACCCUGUGAAGGUUUAACAGUAAGCAAAAUGGGCCCGCCCAAAAACGUCAGGUCAAGGUGUAGCGUACGAAGUGGAAAGAAAUGGGCUACAUUUUCUACACUAAUAGAAUAUUACGAAUGAUAUCCUGAAACAAAUAUCUGAAGGUGGAUUUAGUAGUAAAAA